UACGUAGGGGGCUAGCGUUGUCCGGAAUCAUUGGGCGUAAAGCGCGUGUAGGCGGUCCGGUAAGUCCGCUGUGAAAGUCGGGGGCUCAACCCUCGGAUGCCGGUGGAUACUGUCGGGCUUGAGUACGGAAGAGGCGAGUGGAAUUCCUGGUGUAGCGGUGGAAUGCGCAGAUAUCAGGAAGAACACCCGUGGCGAAGGCGGCUCUCUGGGACGGUACUGACGCUGAGACGCGAAAGCGUGGGGAGCGAACAGG
rnacentral:rRNA from 1 species